AGUCUUUCCUGUGAACCUAGAUCUUUGGAUACAGAUGAGGAUGCUGAAAUGCAGAGCAGUUAAGUGAUAUGACAAAGGACACCCAGGGGGAACCUGCACAUGUCCAGCAAUUUCGCAUGGAAAGGCUUGCAUAGCUCAGUGAGAGAAAACACCUGUGGGG